GAUGAACGCUGGCGGCGUGCUUAACACAUGCAAGUCGAACGAUGAAGCCCAGCUUGCUGGGUGGAUUAGUGGCGAACCGGUGAGUAACACGUGAGUAACCUGCCCUUAACUCUGGGAUAAGCCUGGGAAACUGGGUCUAAUACCGGAUAGGAGCGCCUACCGCAUGGUGGGUGUUGGAAAGAUUUAUCGGUUUUGGAUGGACUCGCGGCCUAUCAGCUUGUUGGUGAGGAAAUGGCUCACCAAGGCGACGACGGGUAGCCGGCCUGAGAGGGUGACCGGCCACCCGGGGACUGAGACACGGCCCAGACUCCUACGGGAGGCAGCAGUGGGGAAUAUUGCACAAUGGGCGAAAGCCUGAUGCAGCGACGCCGCGUGAGGGAUGACGGCCUUCGGGUUGUAAACCUCUUUCAGUAGGGAAGAAGCGAAAGUGACGGUACCUGCAGAAGAAGCACCGGCUAACUACGUG
rnacentral:rRNA from 1 species